rnacentral:rRNA from 1 species
UACGAAGGGUGCAAGCGUUACUCGGAAUUACUGGGCGUAAAGCGUGCGUAGGUGGUUGUUUAAGUCUGUUGUGAAAGCCCUGGGCUCAACCUGGGAACUGCAGCGGAAACUGGACAACUAGAGUGUGGUAGAGGGUAGCGGAAUUCCCGGUGUAGCAGUGAAAUGCGUAGAGAUCGGGAGGAACAUCCAUGGCGAAGGCAGCUACCUGGACCAACACUGACACUGAGGCACGAAAGCGUGGGGAGCAAACAGG